rnacentral:rRNA from 1 species
GGGUUGUGAGGUUAAGCGACUAAGCGUACACGGUGGAUGCCCUGGCAGUCAGAGGCGAUGAAGGACGUGCUAAUCUGCGAUAAGCGUCGGUAAGGUGAUAUGAACCGUUAUAACCGGCGAUUUCCGAAUGGGGAAACCCAGUGUGAUUCGUCACACUAUCAUUAACUGAAUCCAUAGGUUAAUGAGGCGAACCGGGGGAACUGAAACAUCUAAGUACCCCGAGGAAAAGAAAUCAACCGAGAUUCCCCCAGUAGCGGCGAGCGAACGGGGAGCAGCCCAGAGCCUGAAUCAGUGUGUGUGUUAGUGGAAGCGUCUGGAAAGGCGCGCGAUACAGGGUGACAGCCCCGUACACAAAAAUGCACAUGCUGUGAGCUCGAUGAGUAGGGCGGGACACGUGGUAUCCUGUCUGAAUAUGGGGGGACCAUCCUCCAAGGCUAAAUACUCCUGACUGACCGAUAGUGAACCAGUACCGUGAGGGAAAGGCGAAAAGAACCCCGGCGAGGGGAGUGAAAAAGAACCUGAAACCGUGUACGUACAAGCAGUGGGAGCACGCUUAGGCGUGUGACUGCGUACCUUUUGUAUAAUGGGUCAGCGACUUAUAUUCUGUAGCAAGGUUAACCGAAUAGGGGAGCCGAAGGGAAACCGAGUCUUAACUGGGCGUUAAGUUGCAGGGUAUAGACCCGAAACCCGGUGAUCUAGCCAUGGGCAGGUUGAAGGUUGGGUAACACUAACUGGAGGACCGAACCGACUAAUGUUGAAAAAUUAGCGGAUGACUUGUGGCUGGGGGUGAAAGGCCAAUCAAACCGGGAGAUAGCUGGUUCUCCCCGAAAGCUAUUUAGGUAGCGCCUCGUGAAUUCAUCUCCGGGGGUAGAGCACUGUUUCGGCAAGGGGGUCAUCCCGACUUACCAACCCGAUGCAAACUGCGAAUACCGGAGAAUGUUAUCACGGGAGACACACGGCGGGUGCUAACGUCCGUCGUGAAGAGGGAAACAACCCAGACCGCCAGCUAAGGUCCCAAAGUCAUGGUUAAGUGGGAAACGAUGUGGGAAGGCCCAGACAGCCAGGAUGUUGGCUUAGAAGCAGCCAUCAUUUAAAGAAAGCGUAAUAGCUCACUGGUCGAGUCGGCCUGCGCGGAAGAUGUAACGGGGCUAAACCAUGCACCGAAGCUGCGGCAGCGACGCUUAUGCGUUGUUGGGUAGGGGAGCGUUCUGUAAGCCUGCGAAGGUGUGCUGUGAGGCAUGCUGGAGGUAUCAGAAGUGCGAAUGCUGACAUAAGUAACGAUAAAGCGGGUGAAAAGCCCGCUCGCCGGAAGACCAAGGGUUCCUGUCCAACGUUAAUCGGGGCAGGGUGAGUCGACCCCUAAGGCGAGGCCGAAAGGCGUAGUCGAUGGGAAACAGGUUAAUAUUCCUGUACUUGGUGUUACUGCGAAGGGGGGACGGAGAAGGCUAUGUUGGCCGGGCGACGGUUGUCCCGGUUUAAGCGUGUAGGCUGGUUUUCCAGGCAAAUCCGGAAAAUCAAGGCUGAGGCGUGAUGACGAGGCACUACGGUGCUGAAGCAACAAAUGCCCUGCUUCCAGGAAAAGCCUCUAAGCAUCAGGUAACAUCAAAUCGUACCCCAAACCGACACAGGUGGUCAGGUAGAGAAUACCAAGGCGCUUGAGAGAACUCGGGUGAAGGAACUAGGCAAAAUGGUGCCGUAACUUCGGGAGAAGGCACGCUGAUAUGUAGGUGAAGUCCCUCGCGGAUGGAGCUGAAAUCAGUCGAAGAUACCAGCUGGCUGCAACUGUUUAUUAAAAACACAGCACUGUGCAAACACGAAAGUGGACGUAUACGGUGUGACGCCUGCCCGGUGCCGGAAGGUUAAUUGAUGGGGUUAGCGCAAGCGAAGCUCUUGAUCGAAGCCCCGGUAAACGGCGGCCGUAACUAUAACGGUCCUAAGGUAGCGAAAUUCCUUGUCGGGUAAGUUCCGACCUGCACGAAUGGCGUAAUGAUGGCCAGGCUGUCUCCACCCGAGACUCAGUGAAAUUGAACUCGCUGUGAAGAUGCAGUGUACCCGCGGCAAGACGGAAAGACCCCGUGAACCUUUACUAUAGCUUGACACUGAACAUUGAGCCUUGAUGUGUAGGAUAGGUGGGAGGCUUUGAAGUGUGGACGCCAGUCUGCAUGGAGCCGACCUUGAAAUACCACCCUUUAAUGUUUGAUGUUCUAACGUUGACCCGUAAUCCGGGUUGCGGACAGUGUCUGGUGGGUAGUUUGACUGGGGCGGUCUCCUCCUAAAGAGUAACGGAGGAGCACGAAGGUUGGCUAAUCCUGGUCGGACAUCAGGAGGUUAGUGCAAUGGCAUAAGCCAGCUUGACUGCGAGCGUGACGGCGCGAGCAGGUGCGAAAGCAGGUCAUAGUGAUCCGGUGGUUCUGAAUGGAAGGGCCAUCGCUCAACGGAUAAAAGGUACUCCGGGGAUAACAGGCUGAUACCGCCCAAGAGUUCAUAUCGACGGCGGUGUUUGGCACCUCGAUGUCGGCUCAUCACAUCCUGGGGCUGAAGUAGGUCCCAAGGGUAUGGCUGUUCGCCAUUUAAAGUGGUACGCGAGCUGGGUUUAGAACGUCGUGAGACAGUUCGGUCCCUAUCUGCCGUGGGCGCUGGAGAACUGAGGGGGGCUGCUCCUAGUACGAGAGGACCGGAGUGGACGCAUCACUGGUGUUCGGGUUGUCAUGCCAAUGGCACUGCCCGGUAGCUAAAUGCGGAAGAGAUAAGUGCUGAAAGCAUCUAAGCACGAAACUUGCCCCGAGAUGAGUUCUCCCUGACCCUUUAAGGGUCCUGAAGGAACGUUGAAGACGACGACGUUGAUAGGCCGGGUGUGUAAGCGCAGCGAUGCGUUGAGCUAACCGGUACUAAUGAACCGUGAGGCUUAACCUUACAACGCCGAAG